ACUAGUUUAGAGAAGUAUAUGAAGAUUACAGAAAAGAUUAGUAGAGAAGAUUAACAUGGCCCCUGUACAAGGAUGACAUGCAAAUUCAUGAAGCAUUCAUGUUUUUA